rnacentral:rRNA from 1 species
UACAGAGGUCUCAAGCGUUGUUCGGAUUCAUUGGGCGUAAAGGGUGCGUAGGUGGCGCGCUAAGUCGGGUGUGAAAUCUCGGAGCUUAACUCCGAAAUUGCAUUCGAUACUGGCGUGCUUGAGGACUGGAGAGGAGACUGGAAUUCAUGGUGUAGCAGUGAAAUGCGUAGAGAUCAUGAGGAAGACCAGUGGCGAAGGCAGGUCUCUGGACAGCUCCUGACACUGAGGCACGAAGGCCAGGGGAGCAAACGGG